GUGAGGAAUAUUGCGCAAUGGAGGCAACUCUGACGCAGCCAUGCCGCGUGCAGGAAGAAGGCGCUACGCGUUGUAAACUGCUUUUAACCGGGAAGAAACCCCAGGACGUGUCCUGGGUUGACGGUACCGGAGGAAUAAGCACCGGCUAACUUCGUGCCAGCAGCCGCGGUAAUACGAAGGGUGCAAGCGUUAUCCGGAUUCAUUGGGUUUAAAGGGUGCGUAGGCGGAGCGUUAAGUCAGUGGUGAAAUCCUGCAGCUUAACUGUAGACUUGCCAUUGAUACUGGCGCUCUUGAGUGCGCUUGAAGUGGGCGGAAUGUGCCGUGUAGCGGUGAAAUGAUUAGAUAUGGCACAGAACAACAAUUGCGAAGGCAGCUCACUAAGGCGAUACUGACGCUGAGGCACGAAAGCGUGGGGAUCGAACAGGAUUAGAUACCCGUGUAGUCC
rnacentral:rRNA from 1 species